rnacentral:tRNA from 1 species
GCCGAAAUAGCUCAGUCGGAAGAGCGUUAGACUGAAGGUAUAAAGGUCCCUGGUUCGAUCCCGGGUUUCGGCA